GCCCAGGUAGCUCAGUUGGUAGAGCAACGGACUGAAAAUCCGUGUGUCGGCGGUUCGAGCCCGCCCCUGGGCACCA
rnacentral:tRNA from 1 species